rnacentral:rRNA from 1 species
AACGAACGCUGGCGGCGUGCCUAACACAUGCAAGUCGAACGAACCCUUCGGGGUUAGUGGCGCACGGGUGCGUAACGCGUGGGAAUCUGCCCUUUGCUUCGGAAUAACAGUUAGAAAUGACUGCUAAUACCGGAUGAUGUCUUCGGACCAAAGAUUUAUCGGCAAGGGAUGAGCCCGCGUAGGAUUAGGUAGUUGGUGGGGUAAAGGCCUACCAAGCCGACGAUCCUUAGCUGGUCUGAGAGGAUGAUCAGCCAUACUGGGACUGAGACACGGCCCAGACUCCUACGGGAGGCAGCAGUGGGGAAUAUUGGACAAUGGGCGCAAGCCUGAUCCAGCAAUGCCGCGUGAGUGAUGAAGGCCUUCGGGUCGUAAAGCUCUUUUACCAGGGAUGAUAAUGACAGUACCUGGAGAAUAAGCUCCGGCUAACUCCGUGCCAGCAGCCGCGGUAA